rnacentral:lncRNA from 1 species
GAAUCACUUUAUUACAUUUCAAACGAUAGUGUUCGAUUUUUAUUCGAAUAGCUGGUUGCGUUGGAUACCACGCCAUGGAAUCGCCCGAUAAGUCAAUCGCGUUGCGAAUGAAGAAAGUAGAAAUGAAGUGUUGUCUGAAUGAAGAAAGUAAUAAAGGAAAAAGUAGCAUCGGGUAUACUUAAAGGACUAAGAGAAAGCGUUAUUGUCGAACAAAAUAAAUGUAAAACAGCUGUAUCACCACAAAUUUACACCGGUGACCUGUACGCAGCGCCCGCUCUAGCAUUUAUGUGGGCCCGGACAAAAAGACAAAUUAGCGCCCCUUAUAUAUUCUUAAAAAGUUUAUUUAAAAUAAAAAUCAACGAGAAUAAGGUCUAACCAAACCG